UAAAAACCCCGACUUCGGAAGGGGUGUAUUUAUUAGAUGCAAAACCAAUGCCCUUCGGGGCUCUUUGGUGAUUCAUGAUAACUAUACGAAUCGCACGGCCUUGCGCCGGCGAUGGUUCAUUCAAGUUUCUUCCCUAUCAACUUUCGAUGUUUGGGUAUUGGCCAAACAUGGUUGAAACGGGUAACGGAGGGUUAGGGCUCGACCCCGGAGAAGGAGCCUGAGAAACGGCUACUACAUCCAAGGAAGGCAGCAGGCGCGCAAAUUACCCAAUCCCGACUCGGGGAGGUAGUGACAAUAAAUACUGAUACAGGGCCCUUUCGGGCCUUGUAAUUGGAAUGAGUACAAUUUAAAUCCCUUAACGAGGAACAAUUGGAGGGCAAGUCUGGUGCCAGCAGCCGCGGUAAUUCCAGCUCCAAUAGCGUAUAUUAAAGUUGUUGUGGUUAAAAAGCUCGUAGUUGAACCUUGGGCCUGGCUGGCCGGUCCGCCUCACCGCGUGCACUGGUCCGGCCGGGCCUUUCCCUCUGUGGAACCCCAUACCCUUCACUGGGCGUGGCGGGGAAACAGGACAUUUACUUU
rnacentral:rRNA from 1 species